UGUUUUGUUUACUUACAGUCAUGCUGACUGUUUAUUACUAAACUAAUUAGAACAACAUAAAGGGUUUGAUGAAUGAAUCUCAACUUAAGGCAUUAUCCUACCCUUUGAAUAUUGUUCACAAGUGGUUUUAUUUGCGUAUUCCAAAUAUUUAAUAUCGACAGUGAAUAAUGUUCGUAGCUUCAACGAGCUAAAUAAUUGGCUAAAUCUUGCAUUUGCGGAUUCAUAUGUAAAAAAAAUAAGAUUUGGGCAUUAAAAUAGCUGACGCCCGGUGGCGCUGUGGGUGAAGUCUCUUUGGAAAUCAGUUGGCUUUCCGCAAUGCAAGGCGGUGUUUACUCUGACUAACCCGCAGCGAGUUGAUGGUGUGGUUUUUUUAGACAAAGGCUGUUGCUACUGGUGAAAAUGUAUUAGACAGAAGCUCUCCGGAGGUGCCAGGCGGGUACAAGGUGUUCCUGAUGUGAGACAACAUGAUUUAUGUCAGCCGCAGAGCUCUCGACAGGAUGUACUCACUCGUACUCUUGGCAGUGGUACUCCUGUCCUGGGGAUACGUCAUAUAUGGAACGAGAAUAGCAGCACAGUGGCAGCUGGAAAAGCAAUUCAAGAUCAAUAACUGAAGUCCCUGAGGAACUGAGGCGUGUGGACGGAGGGGGUUAAAUGUACCACCCAGACCAACCUGCAAAAGGAAGAUGAACCUUAUGGAUAAAUAAACUUUCUGCGAGAUGGAA